rnacentral:rRNA from 1 species
AUUGAACGCUGGCGGCAGGCCUAACACAUGCAAGUCGAGCGGAUGAAGGGAGCUUGCUCCUGGAUUCAGCGGCGGACGGGUGAGUAAUGCCUAGGAAUCUGCCUGGUAGUGGGGGAUAACGUCCGGAAACGGGCGCUAAUACCGCAUACGUCCUGAGGGAGAAAGUGGGGGAUCUUCGGACCUCACGCUAUCAGAUGAGCCUAGGUCGGAUUAGCUAGUUGGUGGGGUAAAGGCCUACCAAGGCGACGAUCCGUAACUGGUCUGAGAGGAUGAUCAGUCACACUGGAACUGAGACACGGUCCAGACUCCUACGGGAGGCAGCAGUGGGGAAUAUUGGACAAUGGGCGAAAGCCUGAUCCAGCCAUGCCACGUGUGUGAAGAAGGUCUUCGGAUUGUAAAGCACUUUAAGUUGGGAGGAAGGGCAGUAAGUUAAUACCUUGCUGUUUUGACGUUACCAACAGAAUGAGCACCGGCUAACUUCGUG